UACGGGGGGGGCAAGCGUUGUUCGGAGUUACUGGGCGUAAAGGGCUCGUAGGCGGCCAACUAAGUCAGACGUGAAAUCCCUCGGCUUAACCGGGGAACUGCGUCUGAUACUGGAUGGCUUGAAUCCGGGAGAGGGAUGCGGAAUUCCAGGUGUAGCGGUGAAAUGCGUAGAGAUCGGGAAGAACAUCGGUGGCGAAGGCGGCCUGCUGGGCUGUUGCUGACACUGAGGCGCGACAGCGUGGGGAGCAAACAGG
rnacentral:rRNA from 1 species